GUCACAGAACAAACAAAACACAGUGCACAAGAAAGGAAGGCAGAAUAAUUCUGGUUCUCCAGCAAGAACAGCCCAGCAGGGGACAUAUACUCAGGGAAAGUCCUGGACACUCUUCAAGUGGCACACUGUUCUUGAGUGUCUUCAUGUCCUGGUAGUGCCAAGGAAAGAACCUCGUUCAUGGAAGAGAUGCCAACAAAGCUACCAUAAGAAGAUAACCCCAAUAAAGAUGAUAUUCUCUGUACGGGACUCCGGUUGAAUGAUCUGUCCAGUCCCUUUAAGAGACAAGCCACACCCACUCCCUCCCCUGUCUGCUGAGACAAGCUGAUCUUCAGCUUCCAGCAUGAGUCUUUUCCUUUUCUGUUUCUUUCUUG